GAUGGACGCUGGCGGCGUGCCUAAUACAUGCAAGUCGAGCGAAUGGAUUAAGAGCUUGCUCUUAUGAAGUUAGCGGCGGACGGGUGAGUAACACGUGGUAACCUGCCCAUAAGACUGGGAUAACUCCGGGAAACCGGGGCUAAUACCGGAUAACAUUUUGAACCGCAUGGUUCGAAAUUGAAAGGCGGCUUCGGCUGUCACUUAUGGAUGGACCCGCGUCGCAUUAGCUAGUUGGUGAGGUAACGGCUCACCAAGGCAACGAUGCGUAGCCGACCUGAGAGGGUGAUCGGCCACACUGGGACUGAGACACGGCCCAGACUCCUACGGGAGGCAGCAGUAGGGAAUCUUCCGCAAUGGACGAAAGUCUGACGGAGCAACGCCGCGUGAGUGAUGAAGGCUUUCGGGUCGUAAAACUCUGUUGUUAGGGAAGAACAAGUGCUAGUUGAAUAAGCUGGCACCUUGACGGUACCUAACCAGAAAGCCACGGCUAACUACGUGCCAGCCGCCGCGGUAA
rnacentral:rRNA from 1 species